rnacentral:rRNA from 1 species
CGACCGGCGCACGGGUGAGUAACGCGUAUGCGACCUGCCCGUUGCAGGGGGAUAAUCGGGAGAAAUCCCGUCUAAUACCGCGUAACGCCGCGGGGCUGCAUGGCCCUGCGGCCAAAGGAGGCGACUCCGGUGCCGGCUGGGCACGCGUGACAUUAGCUAGUUGGCGGGGCGACGGCCCACCAAGGCGACGAUGUCUAGGGGUUCUGAGAGGAAGGUCCCCCACACUGGUACUGAGACACGGACCAGACUCCUACGGGAGGCAGCAG